UCCCACUCGUAGUGACCGAAUGUGCAACAGAACAAAAUGCUGCUUGUUCCUUGGCCACCCUCACAAGCUUUUGAGCCCAGUGGCGCGCACAGCCCCUUGCCAGUGAGAGGCCCCUGGGCCUUCUUGCACAUGGAACGAGGUAUGAAGGUCGAGUGGCGUGGAGAUUCAGCUCCCUGAGUGGAUUGCUGAGGACCUGUACUCAGACGGUGCCGGUGGGGAUUAAAAUGGCAAAGCUAACUCAGCCUUGCUUUUAAAGGGGGAGUUUGUGUAUGCUGCCCCUAUGUGGUCAAAUAAACGAACUACAAUUUCA